CACAGCAGCUCCGCUAGGGGGUAUGUUCUCUGGGCAGCUACAGGGGCCCCUACUGGCCCUCCGGGGCCAGACUUCGCUUCUUCAGACAGCUCCACGUGCUCUGAGACCUUCUAACAGUACUUCGGCGGAGUAAUUGGAGUUAUCCUGCGAUGCAUGCUUAACUUCUCCGGUGAGUCAGGACUAUGUCAACUGCACUGAUUAGGAAGACAUUCAAACUGUUAUUGCUCAGUGUAGCCAGAAGUUUCUGGAUAUUGAAAGAAAGACAGAAUUUUCUUACAAAAAAUAUUGCAGUUAUUUGUCCAGAAACCAGAGCAGGUUAUCAAAGAGGAUGUCUCAAAACUAAGGAAUGAGUUACAGUGGAAAGAAGUCCAGAAGCACUUGAUAAAGCUGAGCCGCUGGCACCAGGUGCUGGAGGACAUCAACGUUCAGCUUGAAAAGCCGGCCAGCAUCGGUAUCCCUCGGGACUCCUUGGCCUACCUUGAGGAGGCGUCUGCCAACAUCCCUGCACCUCUGAAGCCAAC
rnacentral:lncRNA from 1 species